GGUCUGCAGGUGUUUUGGCAGCACACCGCUGUGGUAAGGCGGAAGACCGGGUUCAAUUCCCGGGCGGACCU
rnacentral:tRNA from 1 species